rnacentral:rRNA from 1 species
CCUACGGGAGGCAGCAGUGGGGAAUAUUGCACAAUGGGGGAAACCCUGAUGCAGCGACGCCGCGUGAGCGAUGAAGUAUUUCGGUAUGUAAAGCUCUAUCAGCAGGGAAGAAAAUGACGGUACCUGAUUAAGAAGCCCCGGCUAACUACGUGCCAGCAGCCGCGGUAAUACGUAGGGGGCAAGCGUUAUCCGGAUUUACUGGGUGUAAAGGGAGCGUAGACGGCGGAGCAAGCCAGAUGUGAAAGCCCGGGGCUUAACCCCGGGACUGCAUUUGAAACUGUGCUGCUAGAGUGUCGGAGAGGCAGGUGGAAUUCCUAGUGUAGCGGUGAAAUGCGUAGAUAUUAGGAGGAACACCAGUGGCGAAGGCGGCUUGCUGGACGGUGACUGACGUUGAGGCUCGAAAGCGUGGGGAGCAAACAGGAUUAGAUACCCGUGUAGUC